rnacentral:rRNA from 1 species
GAUGAGCCCGCGGCCCAUUAGCUAGUUGGGGGUGUAACGGACCACCAAGGCGAUGAUGGGUAGCCGGCCUGAGAGGGUGAACGGCCACACUGGGACUGAGAUACGGCCCAGACUCCUACGGGAGGCAGCAGCUAAGAAUAUUCCGCAAUGGACGAAAGUCUGACGGAGCGACGCCGCGUGGAUGACGAAGGCCGAAAGGUUGUAAAGUCCUUUUGUCGAUGAAGAAUAAGUGUGGGAGGGAAUGCCCGCAUGAUGACGUUAGUCGGCGAAUAAGCCCCGGCUAAUUACGUGCCAGCAGCCGCGGUAACACGUAAGGGGCAAGCGUUGUUCGGAAUUAUUGGGCGUAAAGGGUACGUAGGCGGUUUGGUAAGCCCGGCGUGAAAUCCUGCAGCUUAACUGUAGAGCUGCGCUGGGAACUGCGAAACUUGAGUCAUGGAAGGGGAGUUAGAAUUCCAGGUGUAGGGGUGAAAUCUGUAGAUAUCUGGAAGAAUACCGGUGGCGAAGGCGAACUCCUGGCCAAUGACUGACGCUGAGGUACGAAAGUGCGGGGAGCAAACAGGAUUAGAUACCCUGGUAGUCCGCACCGUAAA